rnacentral:rRNA from 1 species
UACGUAGGGGGCGAGCGUUGUCCGAAGUUACUGGGCGUGAAGCGCGCGUAGGCGGGUUGGCAAGUCUGCUGUGAAAGCCCGGGGCUUAACUCCGGAGGGUCGGUGGAUACUGCCAGUCUUGAAGGUGCUAGGGAGAGAUGGAAUUACCGGUGUAGCGGUGAAAUGCGUAGAUAUCGGUAGGAACACCAGUGGCGAAGGCGGUCUCUUGGGGCAUUCUUGACGCUGAGGCGCGAAAGCUGGGGGAGCGAACGGG